rnacentral:lncRNA from 1 species
AUGGAGAGCUCUGGGCUCCGGCAGCUUCUACUGCUGAUCUGCUUUUUCUUAGGUCCUUGGCUCUCUGUGUCCCAGUCUGAGGAAAAGCAGCAGAUCAGACUCACUGCAGGAGAGUCCUUCACCUUCCCUAAUGCAAUAAUACCGUCAGGACAUCUAAAGUACACAGGCCUGGGCACUAUUAUAACUGUCCAAAAUAAUGUCAGUGACACUGAAUAUGAAACAAGCUUCAGAGGGAGAGUAUAUUGGGACAGCAGGACUGGACAGAUUACCAUCACAAAUCUAAUUGUGCAGGACUCUGGAGAGUUUGAACUGGAGUCAACAAAAGCAAAUCGCUUUAUCAAGAACUUCAUUCUCAAAGUCUACAGUAAGUACAGUCAAAGAGAAAUUCACCCUCACAGUCUACAGUAAGUACAGUGGGUGAGAGAAUCACCCUCAUACUCUACAGUUAUUAGAGUCAGUGAGAAAUUCACUCUCACUGUCUACAGUAACUACAGUCAGUGAGAGAUUCACCCUCACACUCUACAGUUAGUACAGUCAGUGAGAAAUUCACCCUCACUGUCUACAGUAAGAACAGAGAGAAAUUCACCCUCACAGUCUACAGUUAGUACAGUCAGAGAGAAAUUCACCCCCAUUGUCUACAAUAAGUACAGACAAUGAGAAAUUCACCCUCACCGUCUACAGUAAGAACAGUCAGAGAGAAAUUCACCCUCACAGUCUACAGUAAGAACAGUCAGAGAGAUAUUCACCCUCACUGUCUACAGUAAGUACAGUUAGAAAUUCUCACUCAUGUCAUGACAGUGUAACUGCCUUGAAUUGAGCUUCAGUAAUGUGGAACCCGCCCCUCAUCUCCUCAGUGUAAAUGACAGGACUGGGCACUAUGAGAAAUGUAAUGAAUGUGUGUGGCAGGCUGUUGCAGGCCGUGCAGAGGUCACAGCUGCAGGAAUCUGGUGCUCUGAUGAGCUUCAGCUAUGAACCAUCCUGUCUAAACAGCCCAUCUAAACAUUUGGAAGAAAAACCUUCUUUGAAAACUGAGCAGAGGGCUCUCUCGAUCCCUCACACAGUAGUGGAUGCUGAUAAGGCGUCAGAGAUGCAGUGAGGGUGCAGCACCUGUAGGUGUUGAACUUUUGUGUUUGUAAAGAGAAAACAGAGAGACGAAGAGUGGAGAAACAUGUAAGAGCCUGGGUUCCAGAGGGGUUCAGGUGGAAAAGAGCUACUGACAGUAAAGAUAGAUUCCUGGUGGGUCUAGUUUGUGAAGAACUAUGAGGCCAGAGUGUGUUCCUUAGUGAUCUUGUAGACUGCAGUCCCACCUGCUCUGAAAGAUGAGCUCAUGUGACUACUGGUGGUGUUGUGGAC